rnacentral:rRNA from 1 species
AUUGAACGCUGGCGGCAUGCCUUACACAUGCAAGUCGAACGGUAACGCGGGGCAACCUGGCGACGAGUGGCGAACGGGUGAGUAAUGUAUCGGAACGUGCCCAGUUGUGGGGGAUAACUGCUCGAAAGAGCAGCUAAUACCGCAUACGACCUGAGGGUGAAAGCGGGGGAUCGCAAGACCUCGCGCAAUUGGAGCGGCCGAUAUCAGAUUAGGUAGUUGGGGGGGUAAAGGCUCACCAAGCCCACGAUCUGUAGCUGGUCUGAGCGGACGAACAGCCACACUGGGACAGAGACACGGCCCAGACUCCUACGGGAGGCAGCAGUUGGGAAUUUUGGACAAUGGGCGGAAGUCUGAUCCAGCCAGGCGGCGUGCGGGAAGAAGGCCUUCGGGUUGUAAACCGCUUUUGUCAGGGAAGAAACGCUCUGGGUUAAUACCUCGGGGUAAUGACGGUACCUGAAGAAUAAGCACCGGCUAACUACGUGCCAGCCGCCGCGGUAACAC